CCUAAAUGUAUUAGGAGUCUCUACUCAAGAUUAAGUUGAUUAUAGUUCUUAUGAAAACUUAGUAUUAUAAUUAAAAUGGGACAUUGAAAUACUUGACAUUAUAUUAUGUUUAUAUCACUGCUUCAUUAACACAGUGUCCUCUUAAGCAUAGUGUUAAAAUACUACAUUGUGGAGAUAUUUUCUUUUCAGACAUGUGUAGUAUAGAAAAACAGCUUAGAAUUUGGGGCCAAAAGACCAGAGUUUAUAUCCCCACUGUGCCACUAUGAGUAUGGUCUUGAGGAAAUCAUUUUACUAACGUAGAUUUUCCCUCAUCUAGUAAAUGGGAAUAAUAAUUCUUUUACCUGUGAGGUUAUGAUAAAAGUGAUUUGCAAAUUAUUAAGUAGUGAAGUAAUGUGAGGUACUAUUCUAAUUACAGUGAUCCUGACUAUAUCUAUAUUUUUAAGAUUGGCUCCUAGAAAAAGAGCAUAAUGUCAUCAUUCUCGCAGAUAUUUCAUGGAAAUUCCUAGGCCAGAACUCAGAAAAAUCUAAGAGGUCCUGGAAUUGUUUACUUCGUUCUGAGUUACUAUCAUGUAGGAAUUAUAAAAGAGAAAAUCUACAGGGCAAGCCAAGCAUGCAACACAAAGCAAAAGGACAUCAUCUGUCAAUCAAAAAAGGAACAUUCCAUUUGGAAUGUUCCCAGGAGGAGGCAGUUGAAAGUUAAUCCCACAGUGGAACUGAACUAACUCUCUUGGUUUUGGAGAAAGAAGGGAAGGACAGUUCAUCCGCUUCUGACCAAGGGAGAGACUGGCUUCUUCUGACCUAGGCUGAGACUUUGGUGUGGCUGAUGUUGGUGAAUGACCAUUAUAUACUGGGCUGAUUAGAAGAAGACAGAAGAAAAUCAAUUGGCUUUCAUAUCUCCCUGACAGAUUUUUGUGUCACAGCUGUGACAGUACUGACAUUUCCCAAAAUCCUCUUAACCCUCAUUAUAGACUAGGUAUAACCCCAUCCCUCUCACCUCAUCAUCCAUCCUUGUCCUGUUUUUCCCAAUAAACCCCCUUACUUGAGAAAGAGAGAAAGAGUA
rnacentral:lncRNA from 1 species